rnacentral:rRNA from 1 species
UACGUAGGGUGCAAGCGUUAAUCGGAAUGACUGGGCGUAAAGCGUGCGCAGGCGGUUUGGUAAGUCAGAUGUGAAAUCCCCGGGCUUAACCUGGGAAUUGCAUUUGUGACUGCCCGGCUAGAGUUUGGCAGAGGGGGGUAGAAUUCCACGUGUAGCAGUGAAAUGCGUAGAUAUGUGGAGGAAUACCGAUGGCGAAGGCAGCCCCCUGGGUCAAGACUGACGCUCAUGCACGAAAGCGUGGGGAGCAAACAGG